UUGAUCUUCAGAUUGUUUGGCUGAAUUUUGUGAUAAGUGAUGACGGAUGGCGGUUUCUUGGUGAAGAGGAGAUGAUUAUGAUUUUCGUCAGGAGAAUAUUGCGUGAGUAUCAGCUUUUUUCUGUCUUUGCUUUUAUUGCUGUUCGUUCCCACCUCAUCUUUCUCUACUUAAGGGCAUACUUUUAGAUACUUUGGGAUCUGGAGGUAAACAUCUGUAGUAAAAUGUAAAAAUUAAUCAGAUCGAAGGGUUGAGAAAUCUGGUCAAGCGGUCCAUCCAUCACAUUGGCCUGCUAAACUUAAGUCUUUCUAAUGGAUUUGGUCGAAGAGAACAUCUGGCGGCCAGAUUUGUUUCCAAUUUUGGGGCAUAGGCUAGCCCUUUAUCCCCCUACCUGGCUAUCUUCUUCUUUUCUGUUAGUUGAAGCAAGGUUGAAGCGUGGGUUUUGAGAGAAAUCGAAGCCAUUUUCCUUUGUUGUGGGUUUUUAUGUUAACUAGAUUACUUCGCAGUUAUAUUUCUAUUUUUGACGGGUCAGCGAUGAGGAUCGUAAUGAAUUUUUUUUGCACGUGGAGUAACCCCGAAAGUGUUCAGUGUAGUUUUUGCUGUUGAUGAAUCUUCAGUUAGAAGAUUUGAAAACCAUGCUGCCCAUCACUCUCUCUACCAUGCCCUAAAAGCUGAGUAACAUUUUACAUUCACAUUGUUCUUGAUAGCACUAUUAUGGAACUUCACUUCAGCCAUCCAAUCUAAGACUUGCAUCAAGUUGUGCAAGUUAACAUUUACCUUUGCUGUGAACAUCAGUGUUAUAAUGGUUUUAGUCCAGUAAGAUGACUAUCUUUCAGUUUAUUUAUAAAUUAAAUUUGUUGAGUUGGAAGCAAAACUUAAUUAACAGCUCUUCCUUUCAAUCAAGCAAUCUGGACAGUCGUUGCGUUCAGUCAUUUGAACAGGAAUCUAAUGGCUGUCAAUAGGUGGCUGAAAACUGAAAUGAUGUCCACCACCACCAGGUAGCGCGAGUGUCUUCAGGGAUGCAUGUCGGACAUUUUGUUCCAAGACGCAUCAGAAAUGGGUUGCUGGUCGUGACGUUUCUCACGAUGAAAAUUAAAACAAAAAGAUGCUUUAGCAUGUAGAAACCAAUUUGCCACAUCAUUCAACUCAGACUUGGAAGUGCCUGUACAUUGCCGAAAUGGCGUGUCUCGUGUGUUUCGCUGCCUGUUCUUAGGCGUACGUCUCAUCCCGUGCAACAGCAAAAAGUAUAACAACAACACUUCUGUAACACUGUUGGUUACCUUGUUGCAGCCAAAUGGUGAAAGGUGUGGCGAAGACAGAAUGAUCAAUUGCAUGCAGCAUGUGGUUGCAGUGUAAUCCAGAAGUUGCUGUGCUGUUGUAGCUGAGCUGUUCCAUCUGGGUUCCUGACUUAAAAAUGUUUGUGUUGUCGUUUUUGUUUUUGACUUGAGAGUGUUUGAUCUGUCGUCUUUUGAGUUUUCAUUCAAUUAUGCAGUAUACGACUGAGGCAGCCUGAUCAAUGUCAGGUUUGACACAGUCGAGAACUGCUAGAUCAAACAAGCUUUCUGCGCCAAACAAAUAAUAAUUUGCAUAUAACUUGCAUCAUGUUAUUAUCGCGGUAGAGAAAGCGACAGGCCCCCCCCCCCUGGGGGCCACAGGAAAAA
rnacentral:lncRNA from 1 species